rnacentral:rRNA from 1 species
CCUACGGGUGGCAGCAGUGAGGAAUAUUGGUCAAUGGGCGCGAGCCUGAACCAGCCAAGUAGCGUGAAGGAUGACUGCCCUACGGGUUGUAAACUUCUUUUAUAAAGGAAUAAAGUGAGGCACGUGUGCCUUUUUGUAUGUACUUUAUGAAUAAGGAUCGGUUAACUCCGUGCCAGCAGCCGCGGUAAUACGGAGGAUCCGAGCGUUCUCCGGAUUUAGUGGGGUUAAAGGGUGCGUAGGCGGACUGUUAAGUCCGCGGUAAAAGCCCGGGGCUAAACCCCGGCGAGCCGUUGAAACUGGCUGUCUUGAGUGGUCGAGAGGUAUGCGGAAGGCGCGGUGUAGCGGUGAAAUGCUUAGAUAUUGCGCAGAACUCCGAUUGCGAAGGCAGCAUGCCGGCGGCGAUCUGACGCUGAGGCACGAAAGCGUGGGUAUCGAACAGGAUUAGAUACCCCAGUAGUC